rnacentral:miRNA from 1 species
GUCAUUUGAUUAGGCCAUGUUGCGCCUGAGUCGAUAUGAAGUUGAACUGGAGGAUACCAGUGUAGUGUUAGCUUCAGUCCAACUUAAUAUCGACUCAGGCGCUACAUGGCCUAACCAAAUGAC